AUGCUCGCUUCAGCAGCACACAUACCAAAACUGGAACAAUAUAGAGAUGAUUAGCGUGGUUCCUGUGCUAGGAUGACAUGUAAAUUCGUGAAGAGUUCCAUAUUUAA